UCGUCACGGGAAUAUUUGUAAUGUAAGCAGGAUCUCAGCAGUGCGAAGAUUUGCAUCAAUAGGGGAUCUGCAAUUAGUAACCAGCACGACUCUCCCUCCUGUUCCUCAUGAAGGUCUUAACAGGCUACUGUGAUGAUGAUGAGGACCUAUGUGACAGACUGUACUCGGGAUCGGGCACCAAAGAGGCGAGGAGAUUUCAGGACGCGGAGGGAUGGCACUCAACAGUGGGAACUACAGGGCACAUUCGCAGCUGACAAGAGAGGCGCCCAGCGUGGUCUUCGGCUGCUGUAGCCCAUCUGCUUCAAGGUUCGACGUGAUGUGCGUUCAGAGAUGCUCUACUGCAUACCUUGGUGGUAACAAAUGGUUGAAUUACUGUUGCCUUUAUAUCAGCUUGAACCAGCCUGGCCAUUAUUCUCUGGCCUCUGCCGUCGCAAGGCAUUUUCACCCAGAGAGCUGCCGCUCUUUGGAUGUUUCUUUCUUUUUCAGCCUAUUCUCUGAAAACCCUGGAGACGGUUUGCAUGACAAGCCUGGUAAAUAAGUUUCUGAAAUACUCAUGCCGCUCAACCAUGCCGCGUUCAGAUUUAAAGUCACUUUAAAUAACCCCCUUUUGGUGUUUGAUGUGAGCAUUAACUGAAGCUCCUGACCUGUAGCUGCGUGAUUUCAUACACUGUGCCACUAACCUCAGAAAUUCAAUCAGAAAAAUGAAAAAAAGAGAAAACAAAAUACAAUACUCUGCAGUCUUAGGCAGUGAAAGAGGACGAUACUGUAAAUGAUCUUCAUGUUGGUGUGAAUCUAUAUUACAUCUGUAUAGGUGUGUUAGCUUAGCAUUUCAAAACCUCUCCUAAAGUCAUCCCAGCGUUUGCAGUGACCACCCAACACCCAUGUAUUUCGAAACUCACCCAGCAACAGACCGUGUAUGACUAAUCAAUACUUCAUUACCUGAGAAAAAGUUUGGGAAUGGAAUUGGGGUUCUUCUGGCCAAGCAGAAGAAAUUCCUGCUAGUUUUUAUUUCAUUACUCUUAAUUUGCAUAUAAUCUAAUGUUGAAUUGUGCUUUUGGUUCUGAGCAAAUAUACACUGACUACCCAGAUAAACGACAUUUUCUUUGGGGUGGGGGCAGGGCUGGUCAUCAUCGUGUAGAAAAUAAUAGCAGUGUGUGUAUGUGUGCAUAGUCAUGUAUAUAUUGCAUUGCGGACCAAGCGUCCCCACAAUGUGAUUAAAAACCUGCUAUUUUGACCCUGUGAGGACAUUUUUCGGUCCCCACAAAGGCAAAUUCAGGUUUUUUAAAAAUCUGUGAAUGCAAUCAAAAAUCUAAAAAUGCCAGAUGUCUUGUACUUUGCUAUCUUUAGCGCUUGGUUAAAGUUGACAUGAAUGGAGAGUCCCCACAAAGAUGAAUACAUGGCCACAUAUGUAUAUAUGUGUUUGUGUAAAUACACUUAAGCCUGGUAUUGGUACUAUUUUCAUAUUGCUCAAUGUAGCAAAAAGGAAGGGAACAAGGAAACCUGUCAACUAAAUAUCCCCAGAAAUGAUGCUCUUUAAAUUCUGGCAUAAAGCAAACGCAAUGGAAGCAAUGCACUUAUUCUCAAUACUGCCAGCUGUCUGCGUGGCCAUAUGCAGGCAAAGAGUUUCAUACAUUCCCCUUUUAUUAAGUUUGAAUUGAUUCACUAUUAAAACCUAUGCUGUACAGCAGCUUAAAAUAUUUACAAUAGAACUAUAAAGAUUGUCGUACUUCAGGAGCUGGCUAAUUAAACACAAUUGCUAAUUGUCAUGUUUCUUUUUAUAUACUGGUUCAGGAAAUACACAGACAACAAUCGAGUUUUGCUUAAUAUCUCCAUCAUUAAAAUAUCUUUUACACAGCGA